AGGGCAAGUCUGGUGCCAGCAGCCGCGGUAAUUCCAGCUCCAAUAGCGUAUAUUAAAGUUGUUGCAGUUAAAAAGCUCGUAGUUGAAUUUCGGGGUUAGUAGGUUGGUCAUGCCUCAGGUAUGUACUGAUCUCACUGAUUCCUCCUUCCUGAUGAACCGUAAUGCCAUUAAUUUGGUGUUGCGGGGAAACUGGACUGUUACUUUGAAAAAAUUAGAGUGUUUAAAGCAGGCUAACGCUUGAAUACAUUAGCAUGGAAUAAUGAAAUAGGACGUUCGAUCCUAUUUUGUUGGUUUCUAGGAUUGACGUAAUGAUUAAUAGGGAUAGUUGGGGGCAUUAGUAUUCAAUUGUCAGAGGUGAAAUUCUUGGAUUUAUUGAAGACUAACUACUGCGAAAGCAUUUGCCAAGGAUGUUUUCAUUAAUCAAGAACGAAGGUUAGGGGAUCGAAGACGAUCAGAUACCGUCGUAGUCUUAACCAUAAACUAUGCCGACUAGGGAUCGGAUGAUGUUAAUUUUUUAAUGACUCAUUCGGCGCCUUACGGGAA
rnacentral:rRNA from 1 species